rnacentral:rRNA from 1 species
AGCUCCAAUAGCGUAUAUUAAAGUUGUUGCAGUUAAAAAGCUCGUAGUUGAAGUUGUAGGGCGUUGGGACCUUGCUCGCUCCGGCGAGGGGUUUCCGCCUAUUGGAUUCGUAUUACUGUGAAAAAAUUAGAGUGUUCCAAGCGGGCUGUUGAUGCUUGCAUAUAUUAGCAUGGAAUAAUGAGAUAGGACACGUGUACCUU